UGUGGUAGUUUGGCCUAGGCCUUCCUUGGUGACCAGUUUGUAACCAAGGAAGGGUCCAGAUUUACCCAGUAUUCCCUACGAUUUUUACAUAAGCCAGACUAUAAGAAGAAAGGAGGAGAGGCCUUCGCUCUCUUUCCUUCCAGUGGCUUGGAGGUGCAGGUUCCCUGCUGUUGAGUCUGCCGUGUUGGGGAGCGAGGCCUGGUUAGGCCUUGCCGACCUUGGGAGACAGAGGCUGCCGGCGAUCGUUCCGGAGCGACUCUUGGUUGUCCCAAGGAGAGUAGUGAGAUAUUUCUUUGCUAACUCUUUUAGUUGUUAGAUAUUGGGCUACUAACUGGGAUAUAUAUAUAUAUAUGUAUAUAUUCUAUUUUGGUUUUGUUCCUUUUCCCUUCCCCGUUUCCCUUUCCCUUGUGAAAUUGUAUAUAUUUGAAUUGUAUAUAUUUGAAUUGUAUAUAACUGUAACAUAAGUGUAAAUAUAUUUAUAUAUUUUUAUAUAUAUCACUUUAGCUGCCUCUCUCUCGUUUCAGGUUUUCUUAGUUGUUUUUCUCCCCCUUCUCCCUGAGGUUUGGGGUGGGGGGGGAACUUCUUGUGGUAAGGGUUGGAGACUUGGCAGGGAGUCAGCUUCAAAUCAUAUCAUGAGGGCAUUAAGUGACAGAGUUGUCCAUGUUUGUAUCUCCAUGGGAAAAAUGUCUAUUACAGUGCAUUUUUAAAGGUUAUCAAGAGCUGUACAACAACAAAACUAUAAUCUAAUGCUUUCAAAUGCAUUUGGACUGCUAAGGAGAUGUGAUUGGGAAGUAUAUCAGAAUGACUACUUACUCUGAUGAUGUUAUUCUGUGAGACAAUUUGGGGUCUUGGAAGAAAGGAAAAAGAUGAAAUCUAAACCAAGUUUUCAGUCCACGGAAUUGAGGUUGAUGUAAGAAAAUUAGUGUGACUAACUUUAGCAGUAAGGAAAAAAAAUCAAAGUAGGUACUUGUACAUUAAGAUAAAUUAUCAGGGGGAAAAAAAGCCCAACACAUACCAGUGUGAGUUAUGUACCAUGUCCUGAAAAUAGUCUUAUAACUUUACAUACCUCUGUCAUGUAUGACACUCUUCCUUAUCACAUUUCUACUUCGAUGUCAAACACUGUACUUAUAGGGAAGCAUUAGCAAAAAGGUAAAAUGUAGCUAGAGGGCAUAGAACAAAUAUAGAUAAGGUAUGUUGUAAUCACGGAUUAAACGGACUUUUGAAAUCAUCAUGUCAAGCAUUCUUCAUGACAAAUUGCAAGGUUUCUCUAUAACUAUUGCUACUAUACUUUGGAAUACAAUAUACAAUGGCAGCAUAAGAUAAUCCGGGAAGCUAUUCAUAUAGCUUCAUAUCUUUCGUAAGAUAUUUAUAAAGGAAACUAUACUUGAAUAUAAACAAUUCAAGUGAAAGAAUGAAAAAAAAUAUCUUCAGCUGUGCACGAGUCUCCACUCUUAUACCCCCUUUGUUUCCAGAAAAGUUCCUCUCCAGAACAGAAAGUUGAAUCACUUUUUAAAUGGCUAAAGCUUCCUCUCAAUGGCUAAAGGGUACCUCUCAAUGUUUACCACUAACCAAACUUCGCUUUUCCAGAGUAUCCAUCAAAACGCUGCAAAUUUCUGUAAAACGUCUACCUAAAAGUUGUACCAGUCAACCCAGUGAUUGGUACAUCUCACUCAGGAACUAGGCUAAGAUCAUCGUGUGGCUUUCUGAAAGUGAAAAAUCUCAUGGAUACUUACAUAAAUUCCAAGUUUUAACAGAGAGAGGCUGCUCUUCAAAACAGCAGGAACGAGAGACUCAGCCACCUGCUUUUCCUCAAGCUUAUUACUGGAUGUACAACUGUAGAGAAUUGACAUCAAAUUGUUUAAAUGAGUACACUUCCAUUUUACUCGAGUUGUAAAGAUCAAAAGAGGAGCCAGAGCUCCCUGCUUGUGCCCAGGCAACACAGCGACUCACAGCCGUGCUGGCUGAAGUGUGUCCAAAGAUACAAAGACUAAACAGGGAGGCUUGUCCAGCCAUGCCUACAGUGAGUUGGACAGGAGCUGUUAGCAGUAAAGAUUGCUAACAGCAAUUGGUCACAGUUCACGAGGGGAAAGUCUUGCUUUAUGAAACUCAAUUUUCCUUUAUGACAAGGUAACACAGAUGGUAAAGGGAAGCCAGCUGAUGUAAUCUUUUCGAAUUACAGUCAAGUUUUGAUACCAUCUCUUACAGUAGCCUUCCAGAAAAAAAUGUCCAGCACACUGUUGGACAGCUGGAUAAAAGCAUCAUGCCAUGGAUGAGCAACUGGCUCAGGCACAGAGGGUAAUAGUGAAUGGGGUGACAUCAGACUGGUGACCUGUCACUAGUGGGAUUCCACAGGGCUCCAUCUUAGGCCCUGUGCUCAACAUCUUCAUAAAUGACUUGGAUGCAGAAUUCAAAUGGAUACUUAGUAAGUUUGCCAGUGACACUAAAUUCGGAGGACCUGUUGGUUCCCUCAAAGAGUCCUUGCAGAGAGACCUUGACAAAUUAGAGGGCUGGGCAAUCACCAACGGUAUGACAUUUAACAAAGACAAGUGAUGGAUUCUGCAUCUGGGAUGGGGCAACCCUGGAUGUAUAUAUAGACUGGUGAAUGAGACACUGGAGGACAGCCCUGCAGAAAAAGUGUUUCUAAAUUAGCGAAGGACUGAUCGAAGAAGGGAUUCUUCAUUUAUAAUAGAAAACCUGUUUUACCAACAAUUGGCUUUAAGCAAAUCCAUAACAAAAUAUGUAUGCUUGUACAUUCAUUUUCCUGUUUCAGUUUUGACUGUUUCUGGUUGUAUAUGUGACUCUUAAUCACAUGCAAAAGUCCUACACACAACACCUGAAAUACCAUGGAUAGACAGCGACAUUACAAAAUCUGGUAAGACUGAAUCUAAAACAAGAUACCAUGCCUAGCCCUCCUAUUUUAGAUCCUUUGAAAGUUAAUGGCCCAGUUUAUGUCUAAGGUACUGCAUCAUUACCUGUACCAGUGGUAAAAUUAUAGGACUUUCAACAGAUAAAGUAAACUACAUUGUAGGUAGCAACAGAGAGCUUAAUUUCCUUCUAGUGGAUAUGUAACAACUGUUUGGAUAGGCUUCAAAACAUUAUCAGAGAGCAGGAAGAAAAGUUUUUAUGCUUAGAGUAGAAAAGAGAUGGAACUGACAGAAAACUCCCAAAAUAUGAUGUAUAUGAAGACUUCCUUGCAUGAUACGUUAAGAAUUCAGUUAAGAAUUUUACAGCAACUGUCUCUAUAACAGUUUAUGUUUUAAUCAUUUAAUAUAACCAUAAUAUUUGAGUGCCUGAUAUUAUAGACAAUGGUUAUCCUUAAACAUACAUCUCCAAAAGAAGUUAUUAUAAUUUUGUUUUGCAGAAGAGGACCAUACUACAUGGUUUGCUUCAGGUAAGAAAUCCACAAAAUUUGAAUAUCAGAAGU